UACGUAGGGGGCAAGCGUUGUCCGGAUUUAUUGGGCGUAAAGAGCGUGUAGGCGGCCAGAUAGGUCCGUUGUGAAAACUCGAGGCUCAACCUCGAGACGCCGAUGGAAACCAUUUGGCUAGAGUCCGGAAGAGGAGAGUGGAAUUCCUGGUGUAGCGGUGAAAUGCGCAGAUAUCGGGAGGAACACCAAUGGCGAAGGCAGCUCGCUGGGACGGUACUGACGCUGAGACGCGAAAGCGUGGGGAGCAAACAGG
rnacentral:rRNA from 1 species